rnacentral:ncRNA from 1 species
GGGUCCAGCGACCCCAAACACAGGCGGGACCACCCGCCUUUUAGCUAACGGAAGACAGAAA